GGUACCAGGAGAAGCCACUGCUGAGGGCCCUGAUGGACAUCGUGAGUUCUCUGAAGAAGUCUGGGGAGCUGUGGCUGGAUGCGUACCUCCAUAAAUGAAGCAGCAGUCCUCAGGCACCCUCGGGAAAGGGGCACAGUUGGGGUGACGGCCAGAGGGAGGGGAGGGCUUUCGUUCUGAAGGGUUCUCAUGAAGUGUCCGCUGGCUCACAUUCCCCAUGCUUGGUCUUGCGUCCUUUCUUGUUCUCCCCCGCCCCCACCCUGUCCUCAUGGGGUUCCCCUGUGUCAGCCCCAGCUCUGUCCCCUCUGCUUCCCAGGCCCUUCUCC